rnacentral:rRNA from 1 species
AACGAACGCUGGCGGCAUGCCUAACACAUGCCAGUCGAACGAGACCUUCGGGUCUAGUGGCGCACGGGUGCGUAACGCGUGGGAACCUGCCCUUAGGUUCGGAAUAACUCCCCGAAAGGGGUGCUAAUACCGGAUAAUGUCUUCGGACCAAAGAUUUAUCGCCUUUGGAUGGGCCCGCGUUGGAUUAGCUAGUUGGUAGGGUAAAAGCCUACCAAGGCGACGAUCCAUAGCUGGUCUGAGAGGAUGAUCAGCCACACUGGGACUGAGACACGGCCCAGACUCCUACGGGAGGGAGCAGUGGGGAAUAUUGGACAAUGGGCGAAAGCCUGACCCAGCAAUGCCGCGUGAGUGAUGAAGGCCUUAGGGUUGUAAAGCUCUUUUACCCGGGAUGAUAAUGACAGUACCGGGAGAAUAAGCUCCGGCUAACUCCGUG